AGUUACGCCAGUAUUUUGUGUCUUAUUUUUGGUGUAAGCCAGCAUCUGCAGUUCCUUCCUGAACAUAAGCACUUGGAUACAUACAUAUUAGAUAAGCAUCUGCAACCACAGUAUGUAUUUUGAGCUUAAAAUCCAUAUGCAUUUUAUUUGCAUUGGGAACGGCCGAGAUAACUUUGUCCCCCCUCUAAAAUGCAACUUCAGAAAUGCAAAUAGUCCAGGUGUGUGGACCCUAAAGGCGGAUAAAUCGGCGGCGAGGUGGCGAAUUCAACGGCAAUGGGCGGUGAGUAAUGGUAGCGCUUCCCCGCUGCAGCGCCCCGGCGGCCGUUGCCAUGGCAGCCGCCUGAGCGGCGCCGCGCUCCGCUGGCCGGAGGGCGGCUGUGAAUGGGUGACGUCACGGGGCUGGCGCCAGCGAGGCGGCAGUGGGUCGGAGGGAGCUGCUAGCGGCCGCUGCUCCUUGCCAAUUCAUCAGCUGUCGGUGGCGGGGAGCAGGGCCGAUGCACACAGCUGGGCCGGCAACACAAAAGGACACAAUGCAAGAAAAGCCGCCUGCACCAGAUGUGGACUUGGGAAUUUGAACGCUUUAAGCUUGCUUGCAUUUGCAUCACUGCUUACUACACAUAUCCACACACACGCACAGAAAGCGAAUGGUACUGCAGGCGAUAGGAGCACAAAGAAAAAUAAACUGCAGUGGUGUAUGUUAAAUAAAGAAAUGAAAUAGACCUGGCCGUUAUUUUUAUAUUAUUCUUUAUUCGCCCCGCGAGUUCUUCGGGAUCUGGGAACUCGUAUACCUGUGCAUUGCAUACUGUUGCAGAUAAAAGGAUAAUGAAAUUCAUCUUAUUUCACCAGAUCAAAAUACAGCAAGUGAGAUAGCAAGAACCAAGAUAGCACCUAAACACCCUCACGAUGCAGUAGUCCUGUUAAGAUCGAGAAACGUAACGAUCGCUAGAUUUUUUUAAUAUGCUAUUGUAGCACCGAACUAUUGGGAUGGAGACAAUGAACUUCCGAUACUUUGCACUAACUGCUUAAACAAAUCCAUUACAUCAACAAUUUAGUCCGUUGAAAAGGUGCGCUGUGGUUCACACUGGUUUAUGCCUACAUAAUAAAAGUAAAACUGAAAAAAA